rnacentral:tRNA from 1 species
GCUGAUAUGACGGGAAUCUGGAAUACCUUCUUGACUUAGAAUCAAGAGUUUGUGAGUUCGAAUCUCACUAUCAGUACCA